AUUGAACGCUGGCGGCAGGCCUAACACAUGCAAGUCGAGCGAGCGGCGGACGGGUGAGUAAUGUAUGGGGACUGCCCGAUGGAGGGGGAUAACUACUGGAAACGGUGGCUAAUACCGCAUACUAUCGGAUAACCCAUAUGGGAUUAGCUAGUAGGUGGGGUAAAGGCUCACCUAGGCGACGAUCUCUAGCUGGUCUGAGAGGAUGAGCAGCCACACUGGUACUGAGACACGGCCCAGACUCCUACGGAGGCAGCAGUAGGGAAUCUUCGACAAUGGACGCAAGUCUGACCGAGCAAUGCCGCGUGUGUGAAGAAGGUUUUCGGAUCGUAAAGUUCUGUUGUUAGAGAAGCGGUACCCAACCAGAAAGCCACGGCUAACUACGUGCCAGCAGCCGCGGUAAUUC
rnacentral:rRNA from 1 species